AAGCACUCUCGUUUAGCCACUUCCUGCCCUCUGUCAGGGCUCCUCAGUGCCUCUGAGAGUUCAACAGAAGGCCGCAGGAUGAGGUGAAACCACCACAGAUGAAGCAGAUGGCAGAAAAUAGUCAUCUGUGGGCUUUCUGUGGUCAGCAACCACUGAGCACCCCAGUGAGCAGGUACCACGCGGCAGCUAGAGCAAUGAGGAGAACAGAUACGCUUGCUAGGUCAUGGUGACCCCUCCUGAAGGCCUGAAGGGUCAGGGGACUCCUGAUCGUGUGCUGGGACAUAACAACAAGCAUUGGGUCCACCAUGUGACUACACAAACAUCUCUGCCACCAGAGGUUCUGACUGGGAGAAAAAUGGGAAACAAGAUCAGUGACCAUCUUUGCUCUUCAACUCCUCUGGAGCAGCGGAGUGCAGACUCAGAUUGACCUGCGUGGAGGUUCAUUACGUGGAAAAACUCCCGAGGGUUUCUGGUGGCAAAGGCUUGUCAUCCUGAUGCAUCUCCUUACCAACACGGGGCAGGACCUCAAGCUUUCACUCUUUAGGUGACAAGUAUUUAAA
rnacentral:lncRNA from 1 species